UGACUUUUGUGAAGUCUUUUUCAAACAGUAAUCUUGCAACACUGGGGAAAGCGGUAUAGAGCCCCACAGGUCUGUGAUGCUUCUGAGGUGCUGUGACUCUCAACAGAAGAGACAAAAAAAACCCCAAAAAAACCCAAAAGGGAAAGACAAAGAAGGGGAGAAAAUUUUCUAUUUACAUGCUUCAAAAUGUCAGUAGUCACCAACAUCACAGAGAAAAUGUAAUUUCUACUGCAGGCCUGCAGAGUAGAGAAACCACAGUAUCUGAAAUGUAACAUCAUAGAAAAACAGCCUGGACUUUGUCUCAUCAAACAAAAGUUACUUUCAGAGUUGAACACUAGGGCUGCUUAUCAGCAGCGCUGCAGGGAAGAGGUCUUAACAACACCCUGACAACAGCACAAGAAGGGACCAAAGAAGAAAUUCCCCUCCCAGUAACAGGACAAUCCAUGCAGAAGCUCAAAAAGCAGCUCGUGGCUCAGACACGGAAAGCUCUAGAGGAGAUCCAGUGCAGCUGCUUGCAGAUGAGAGGCAAGGCAACAACUAA